rnacentral:piRNA from 1 species
UCGAGUCUAAAUUUAUGUUGAGUUUUAACU